CCGAACGCCCACGCUGCCCCGGCCGCCCGCCCCCUUCGGCUCCUUCUCCAUCCAUGCACAUGCUGUCACCAAAUUUCCCCUCGAAUCGGUACAAAUAACACCCAAAAUCGCCACCCGAAUCAUCUCUCCCGUCAUACCUGAACGUUUGUCGGUGGUUGCGGUAGGUACGCGGCCGCUUCUCAGCUGGCACGUGCCGCUUGGUGUGGUAUGCAUGGCCGCCGGAGCUGGUGUAAGACUAUGAGUGUGGCGCCCAGCAUCCAUGACUCAGCCGCGGCCACGGAAGAUUGGAACGGCAUGGGAGCGGAGAAGCACGGCAUGGAUGAAGUAGAGCGGCGAGGAAGGCGCGGUGCGAGGCUAGAGCCCGGCGGUGCUGUGACGAAGAGCACCUUACGAGGGGAACGGAUAAGGCAGGAGAAGGGAGAAAGAAAGAAACAAUGUGGGUCCACCGCGUACCAGCCUGUCCACGAAAUAGUGCCAGCAUC
rnacentral:lncRNA from 1 species